CUACGGAGGGUGCAAGCGUUACUCGGAAUCACUGGGCGUAAAGCGCGCGCAGGCGGCUUGAUAAGUUGGAUGUGAAAGCCUACGGCUCAACCGUAGAACUGCAUCCAAAACUGUCAGGCUCGAGUGUGGGAGAGGAAGAUGGAAUUAGUUGUGUAGGGGUAAAAUCCGUAGAGAUAACUAGGAAUACCAAAAGCGAAGGCAAUCUUCUGGAACACUACUGACGCUGAGGCGCGAAGGCGUGGGGAGCAAACAGGAUUAGAUACCCCAGUAGUCC
rnacentral:rRNA from 1 species